GUCUAUGGCCAUGCCACCCUGAAUGUGCCCGAUCUCAUCUGAUCUCGGAAGCUAAGCAGGGUCGGAGCUGGUUAGUACUUGGAUGGGAGACCACCUCGGAAUACCAGGAUCUGUAGGCA
rnacentral:rRNA from 1 species